GAUGAACGCUGGCGGCGUGCCUAAUACAUGCAAGUCGAGCGAACAGAUGAGAAGCUUGCUUCUCUGAUGUUAGCGGCGGACGGGUGAGCAACACGUGGGUAACCUACCUAUACGACUGGGAUAACUCCGGGAAACCGGGUCUAAUACCGGAAAAUAUUUUGAACCGCAUGGUUCAAUAGUAAAAGACGGUUUCGGCUGUCACUUAUAGAUGGACCAUCGCCGUAUUAGCUAGUUGGUAAGGUAACGGCUUACCAAGGCGACGAUACGUAGCCGACCUGAGAGGUUGAUCGGCCACACUGGAACUGAGACACGGUCCAGACUCCUACGGGAGGCAGCAGUAGGGAAUCUUCCGCAAUGGGCGAAAGCCUGACGGAGCAACGCCGCGUGAGUGAUGAAGGUCUUCGGAUCGUAAAACUCUGUUGUUAGGGAAGAACAAAUUUGUUAGUAACUGAACAAGUCUUGACGGUACCUAACCAGAAAGCCACGGCUAACUACGUGCCAGCCGCCGCGGUAA
rnacentral:rRNA from 1 species